AGGGGUGAAAGGCCAAUCAAACUGGGAGAUAGCUCGUACUCCCCGAAAUGCAUUUUGGUGCAGCGUUAGGAAGAGUGUGCUGGAGGUAGAGCUACCAAUAGGGCUAGGGGGCUUCACGGCCUACCAACCCCUGAUGAACUCCGAAUGCCAGCACAUUGCACUAGCAGUGAGGCGUGGGGUGCUAAGGUCACACGCCGAGAGGGGAACAACCCAGACCAACAGCUAAGGUCCCCAAAUGAUAUCUAAGUUGAACAAACGAUGUGAGAAUGCUAAGACAGCUAGGAUGUUGGCUUGGAAGCAGCCAUUCAUUUAAAGAGUGCGUAACAGCUCACUAGUCGAGCGUUCUUGCGCGGAAAAUAAUCGGGCAUCAAGAUAUCUACCGAAGCUUUGGAUUCAUAGUAAUAUGAGUGGUAGGGGAGCAUUCUAGAGCGUUGAAGCCGUACUGUGAGGUAUGGUGGAGCGAAGAGAAAAGCAAAUGUAGGCAUGAGUAACGAUAAUUAAGAUGAGAAAUCUUAACGCCGUAAGACUAAGGGUUCCUAGAUCUAUGUUAAUCAGAUCAGGGUUAGUCGGGUCCUAAGGUGUACCCAAGAGGGGAAGCUGAUGGCAAGCCGGUUAAUAUUCCGGCACCUGUAUAUACUGCGAUGGGGGGACGAAGGAGCGUAAGGCUGGCCACGAGACGGAAUACGUGGUUGAAGUGCGUAGAUGUUGAUUCGGUAGGCAAAUCCGCCGGAGAGUUGAAACACGAUAGUAUUCUGAUGACUUCGGUCAUUGGGAAUAAAGCCCCAAGCAAGCUUCCGAGAAAAGCCUCUAAGCUUCAGGUAUAUAGAGCCCGUACCGCAAACCGACACAGGUGGUCGAGGAGAGUAUCCUAAGGCGCUCGAGUGAUCCGUGGCUAAGGAACUAGGCAAAAUAGUCUCGUAACUUCGGGAGAAGAGACGCCCCGCGUGAGCGGGGCCGCAGUGAAGAGGCCCAGGCGACUGUUUAGCAAAAACACAGGACUCUGCAAAUUCGAAAGAAGAAGUAUAGGGUCUGACACCUGCCCGGUGCUGGAAGGUUAAGAGAGGGGGUUAGCGCAAGCGAAGCUCUUAAUUGAAGCCCCAGUAAACGGCGGCCGUAACUAUAACGGUCCUAAGGUAGCGAAAUUCCUUGUCGGGUAAGUUCCGACCUGCACGAAUGGUGUAACGAUCUGGGCACUGUCUCAGCCACGAGCUCGGUGAAAUUGAAGUAUCGGUGAAGAUGCCGAUUACCCGCAAUGGGACGAAAAGACCCCGUGAACCUUUACUAUAACUUCACAUUGGGCUUGAAUAUAAGAUGUGUAGGAUAGGUGGGAGACUGCGAAGUUGUCACGCUAGUGGUGAUGGAGUCGGCGUUGAAAUACCACCCUUUUUAUAUUUAGGUCCUAAUCCCUGGAAAGAGGGAGACAGUGUGUGGCGGGUAGUUUGACUGGGGUGGUCGCCUCCGAAAGAGUAACGGAGGCUUGCAAAGGUACCCUCAGUGCCGUUGGUAACGGUACGCAGAGCAUAUUAGUAGAAGGGUGCUUGACUGAGAGACUGACGGGUCGAUCAGGGUCGAAAGACGGCUAAAGUGAUCCGGUGUUUCCGCAUGGAAGGGACAUCGCUCAAAGGAUAAAAGGUACUCCGGGGAUAACAGGCUGAUCUCCCCCAAGAGCUCAUAUCGACGGGGAGGUUUGGCACCUCGAUGUCGGCUCGUCACAUCCUGGGGCUGGAGAAGGUCCCAAGGGUUGGGCUGUUCGCCCAUUAAAGUGGCACGUGAGCUGGGUUCAGAACGUCGCAAGACAGUUCGGUCUCUAUCUAUUGUGGGCGUUGGAAUAUUGAGGAGUCCUGACACUAGUACGAGAGGACCGUGUUGGACGAACCGCUAGUGUACCUGUUGUGGCGCCAGCUGCAGUGCAGGGUAGCUAUGUUCGGACUGGAUAAGCACUGAAAGCAUCUAAGUGCGAAGCCAUCUCCAAGAUGAGUAUUCCUUGAAGGGUCGUAGAAGAUGACUACGUUGAUAGGCUACAGGUGGAAGUGCAGUAAUGUAUGGAGCUGAGUAGUACUAAUUACCCGAAAGCUUCCUUUU
rnacentral:rRNA from 1 species